UACAGAGGAUGCAAGCGUUAUCCGGAAUGAUUGGGCGUAAAGCGUCUGUAGGUGGCUUUUAAGUCCGCCGUCAAAUCCCAGGGCUCAACUCUGGACAGGCGGUGGAAACUACCAAGCUGGAGUACGGUAGGGGCAGAGGGAAUUUCCGGUGGAGCGGUGAAAUGCGUAGAGAUCGGGAAGAACAUCAGUGGCGAAGGCGGCCUGCUGGGCUGUUGCUGACGCUGAGGCGCGACAGCGUGGGGAGCAAACAGG
rnacentral:rRNA from 1 species